CUCCGCGGCCAGACGACAGAUGAAUUGCGCAUGCGCAAAGUCACUACAGAUCCCAUCCAGACUUACGGAGCAGAAUAUAAAUGAAAAUGUUUCUUCAGUGUCAUGCUAAAAUAAACCACAGCAUUUAGCCUCUAGUAAGAAAACAUAUUUUGGGUGUUUUAUAUUCACUUUUUGGUCUCUUCCACAACGUUAUUCCUCUCUCCUACAACAUUGAUUACAAUUACAUGCAAACUGGGAAAUAUGCAAAUUAGGCGAUGACGUCAUUUAGCGACUUCUAGCAACUUUUAGGACAGCCAACAGCGACUUUCCUUGCUGAGGAGUUGGCAACAGUGCUCCUGGCGCAGCUCUCUGCGUCCCUGGCGAAUCAGCGCGUUUGGGUGAUCAUUUUUCAUCUGAUCUGAUUGAUUCAUGAUACCUGUCAAUCAAAGUCACCCCUGGCAGCGUACACAGACACAUACUGAGAGAGACAGACAGACCACAACAACAAGACAGAAGAUGAUGGCGGCAGCAAAAGAAAAUUCGGUUGUUUCUUUACGAAAUAAUCCUUUUACAAGGCAUUCGCUGGAGGAAAAAAAAAGGAUAAAGGAGCUAGGACCGGAGCAACCUGAUUUACAAAUCCAGCAGCAGGCAAGUGACCAUGGACGGAGUUACACCCGGGGCUUCUCCCGCCUGUGUUAUGCUAAACACAGCUGGCUAGCUGGAUGUGAAGUUAGCAAUGCUCUGUAUUGCUUUCUCUGCUUGCUUUUUCAAAGUGUUGGCACUGAAGUUCUGUGGACAACAACGGGGGUCAGAGACCUGAAACAUCUCUCUGAAAAAUGCAAACGGCAUGAAGGUAGCCGUAGCCACCUUGACAACAGCAUGAAGCUACAGUUUUUUGGCCGUGUUAGCAUUGCUGAACAACUAGAUGAGGGCUACAGAGUUGGCAUUAGAAGGCACAAUGAAGAGGUGACAAAAAACUGUCACAUACUGUCCAGGACAACAGACUGUGUGAAAUUUUGUGGGGCCUUUGAGUUGGCUUUACGUGGCCAUGAUGAGAGUGAGAGCUCUGUUAACCCUGGGAUAUUUUGUGGGUUGGUGGAUUUUGUUGCUUCUCUGGAUGGAGCUUUGAAAGAGCACCUUGAAACUGCCACUGUUUUUAAGGGUACUUCAAAAACUGUCCAAAAUGAGCUCCUGGACUGUAUGUUGUCUGUUGCAAGGGAGCAAAUAAUUAAAGAAGCCCAAAAGAGUGUUUUUGUGUCAAUCCAGGCAGAUGAGACAACAGAUAUUUCAACACAGUCACAACUUGUGCUUGUACUACGCUACAUUGAUGACAAACACAGUGUGCAGGAAAGAUUUUUUGAAUUCAUUCCUCUGCAGUCAGCUACGUCUGAGUCCAUUGCUACUGCAUUAACAGAGCGUCUUGCUGCCAUCAUUCCUGAGGAUCAGAAAAGCAAGCUAAUCUGCCAGGCGUAUGAUGGAGCCAGUGUGAUGAGGGGUGCCACUGCAGGUGUUCAGAGGAAAAUCAAAUAUGUGUACCCAAAUGCCCACUCUAUCCACUGCUAUGCACACCAACUCAACCUGAUCAUGCAGCAGACCACCUCUCACAUUUCCAAUGUGAGAAUUUUUUUUUCUGACCUGGGUGGAUUUGCCAGCUUUUUUUCCUGAUCACCCAAGCGUACAGCUGUUCUUGAUAAAAUGGUGGCCCAUAGACUGCCAACAUCCAGCAAUGUCAGAUGGAACUUUCACAGCCGAGCCAUCAACACUGUUUGAGCACAGAGAGGAUCUCAUUCAGUGUUUUCAGAACAUACAAGACUCAGGUGACUUUGAUGCCAGUACCAUCAGAGAGGCAGGAGCCAUGGCCAUGCUGCUGGAACAUCAGGACUUUAAGUUCUUUCUGGAACUUUUUCACCACAUCAUGCCACAUGUGGACCUCCUCUAUGCCAAGCUCCAGAAGAAGAACAUAGAUGCAGUCCACAUAAAAGUGAGCAUCCAGCAGUUUGAACAGGACAUGGAAAACAUCAGAAAUUCUCUCCAUUCCAUGGGUGAGCAAAGAAGUGGCUGUCCGACAGCAAAGAGGCGUCGGGCACUCAGUUCAGAGGAUCGUCAAAGGGUUGCAGAAGACAUCUGCAACACCGUUCUGGGACACACCAAGGAGCGCUUCUCCUUCACCGACCAUCUCGUCUGUGCAACCUUGUUGCAGGGGGACAGGUUUGAAGAACAUCACGGGUCAUUUCCUGAAGAGGCACUGCAACGCACUUUGAAGGCCUACCCGAUGCUGAAUGGAAGCAAGCUGAAGACAGAACUCGGUCUCAUCUACAGCAAAGUAGAGUUCAGAGCCUGCUGUGGUGCACUUGACCUAUUCCAGCUGUUUAUGGAGAACAAUCUUGAAGUCGUCUUUUCAGAAACUGUCAAUCUUUUAAGGAUCCUGAUCACCACACCCAUGACCACAGCUGAAGCAGAGAGGUGUUUCUCAACCUUGAAAAGAGUGAAAACUUUUGUCAGAAACAUCCAGGAAAGGCUGAAUGCCUUGGCCAUGCUCUCCAUGGAAAAGAGACUUGUUUGUGAAAUGACAGAUUUCAAUCAGAAAAUCAUUAAUAAAUUUGCUGGCCUGAAGGAGAGGAGAGAAAAAUUUAUGUUCAAGUAAUUGUUUUGUUGUGUUGUAAUGCCCGUCUGCUAGUGCGCCCCCCCAAAAUAUUUUAUCACCAGCCGCCACUGC